GUACAGGAGACAGUAAGCGUGAUUAGACCACAGAUGACCCUUGUACCCCAUGAAGCUAUUAGGUGUUUUGUUUGCUUCCUCGUUUUUAACCUGCUACUAAUGUAAACUGGAGACUUGCAUGCGUGCUUCUCUUUUCCCAGCUUUGGGUCAGUUUAUCACUGCCAGGAGUUCAUUCAACAAGAUUUGGAGUGGCGGCAUGCUACCAGGUUGUUUUUUGUUGAAGCUCAGACCUCCAGAUCAAGUAAAAACCACGGAACUGAACUUCAUCUUCCAGUAUUCUUUCAGUGCGACUAAUUGCCUCUCAGUAGGCCUGUAUCUGAGUGAUAAACAACAAACUCCUGCAAGCUGAGAAAUAAAAAUAGCAGAGAAUAACAUUGAUGUUGCAAUCACUGCAGAGCACUCAACACACCUCCUCUCCCAUGCUCAACUGCAAUGGAAUGCUCUUCAGCUUCAUCCUGGAACAUCCCACAGCCACCUCCUGUUGCCACAGUUGAGUGACUCCUCCCUCCUAGGCCUACUGGGCAGCUGUUGCUAAAA